rnacentral:lncRNA from 1 species
CUAUGUUUUCAAGUUGAAUUGAAAGCCAAAACAUAUUUUAACUAUAUUUUAAACAAGUUGAAUUGAAAGCCAAAACAUAUUUUAACAUAUUUUAACCAUAACCAAAACAUAUUUUGACCAUAUCCCUUAUUAUUGAGGGAGGUAUUUCUUCCCUAGUGCUGUGGGGAUGACUUGGACAGAAACCACUGGACACUAUACAGAUGUAGACUGACAGUUUACUGGUCACCUGCACUAACAGCCUGAGAGAAAAGGACACUGCAUAUCACAGAGAGAUGCAUAGAUGUUACACUCAGAAAGAGAGUGAACAACUAGAAGAUGUGGAAGGCAAGCUUUUUAGUAUUAAGAGGGAACCAGUUUGGCUCUGGAGUCAAGAAUUCUCAAAACAGCUUUCUGAACCUGAAUCGCACGCAGUAAAGCUGGUGUUCUCCUGAAGCCAACAUUUAUGGUAUCACCUUGCUGAUCCAGGCAAAAUGGCAAAAGUGUAGUGAACAUAAAGCCAGGGGCUGAGAUUGUGGAUGUCCUCUGUACCAAGUUUCUUAUUAUGGUAAGGGUAGAAGUUCACCAGGUCAGUAAUGUGAUUUUGUCCAAAGAGCCAUUUCUGGAGAUCUAGCCUAAACAUUGCUCCUCCAACUCUUCCCAUAAUUUGUUAACAAUUGAAUAAUUGUUCUGUUUAAAAUAGUUUGGAUGUUUUAUGUUUUCUGCAACUUUACUGUUAUCAUAACAAAGACAUAAAUAAAGAUCUAAAUAAAGUCAGAAAAUUCCAAGGGCCAAUUUUGAAACAAACCAGGCAGAGACCCAGAUGCAGAAUCCUGCAGGCUGAGGGAUGUUAGGAAGAGUUAGCCCACCACUGCUGCGCUGAAACCAGGAUGACGCAAACUGGGCCUCAGGCCAGGGUGUAUUCCUUGGAGUAUAACUGAAGGUUUACUUGGUAAUUCUAUGUUUAACUUUUUUUGGAACUUCUGGACUAUCUUCCAAAGCAACAGUACCAUUGUACAUUUUCACCAGCCACGUAUGACAGUCACACUCUCUCCACAUUCUUGCCAAAACUUGUUAUCAUUUUUCAAAUAAAAGACAGCCUAGUGUGUAUGUAGAUCAAUAAACCAAACUCCCUGUCACCUCAGACUCUGCACCUGUUAAAGCCCUGUAAAGAGCCGACAUGUAAGGACUUAUACUGACUGGAUACAGAGAAUAUGGAGCAAAUCAAACGUAUUUAAAUAGUAAAUUAUCAUAUUGUUAUAAAUAAAAAUUUACAUUGCAUUUCCUUUUAGGCUUAGAAUAUAAACUGACACCUUGAAGAAGUGACCAUCUUGUAAUCAACACUUUAUUCUAAGGAUAACAGAGAUAAAUGAUAUAAGGAUCUCUGUUUCUUAAUGGCAUUGUUGAGCCCUAAACUUUCUACUGCUAGAUAUUUUAUCGCAUGAAAUAAAUAAGCCUUAGUUGCUUAAAA